UACGUAGGGUGCAAGCGUUAAUCGGAAUUACUGGGCGUAAAGCGUGCGCAGGCGGUUCGUUGUGUCGGCGGUGAAAGCCCCGGGCUUAACCUGGGAACGGCCGUUGAAACUGGCGAACUGGAGUGUGGCAGAGGGGGGUGGAAUUCCGCGUGUAGCAGUGAAAUGCGUAGAGAUGCGGAGGAACACCGAUGGCGAAGGCAGCCCCCUGGGCUAACACUGACGCUCAGGCACGAAAGCGUGGGGAGCAAACAGG
rnacentral:rRNA from 1 species